AGUGAACGCUGGCGGUAGGCCUAACACAUGCCAGUCGAACGGCAGCACAGUAAGAGCUUGCUCUUACGGGUGGCGAGUGGCGGACGGGUGAGGAAUACAUCGGAAUCUACUUUUUCGUGGGGGAUAACGUAGGGAAACUUACGCUAAUACCGCAUACGACCUACGGGUGAAAGCAGGGGAUCUUCGGACCUUGCGCGAUUGAAUGAGCCGAUGUCGGAUUAGCUAGUUGGCGGGGUAAAGGCCCACCAGGGCGACGAUCCGUAGCUGGUCUGAGAGGAUGGUCAGCCACACUGGAACUGAGACACGGUCCAGACUCCUACGGGAGGCAGCAGUGGGGAAUAUUGGACAAUGGGCGCAAGCCUGAUCCAGCCAUACCGCGUGGGUGAAGAAGGCCUUCGGGUUGUAAAGCCCUUUUGUUGGGAAAGAAAAGCAGCAGGUUAAUACCCCGCUGUUCUGACGGUACCCAAAGAAUAAGCACCGGCUAACUUCGUG
rnacentral:rRNA from 1 species